AACGAACGCUGGCGGCGUGCUUAAUACAUGCAAGUCGAACGAAGAGUCUUUGUAGCAAUACGAGGGCUUCUUAGUGGCGAACGGGUGCGUAACGCGUUGGUGACCUGCCCCGAAGUGUGGGAUAGCAGUUCAAAAGGACUGCUAAUACCGCAUGUGGACACGAGGGUUAGAGGCUUUGUGUCUAAAGCAGUAAUGCGCUUUGGGAGGGACCUGCGUCCCAUCAGCUAGUUGGUGAGGUAACGGCCCACCAAGGCUACGACGGGAAGGGGACCUGAGAGGGUGGUCCCCCACACUGGCACUGAAACACGGGCCAGACACCUACGGGUGGCAGCAGUAGGGAAUAUUGGGCAAUGGGCGAGAGCCUGACCCAGCAACGCCGCGUGCAUGAUGAAGGUCUUCGGAUCGUAAAAUGCUUUUCUGAGAGAUGAGAAAGGACAGUAUCUCAGGAAUAAGUCUCGGCUAACUACGUGCCAGCAGCCGCCGUAACAC
rnacentral:rRNA from 1 species